UACGUAGGGUGCAAGCGUUGUCCGGAAUUAUUGGGCGUAAAGGGCUCGUAGGCGGUCUGUCGCGUCGGGGAGUGAAAACUCAGGGCUUAACCCUGAGCCUGCUUCCGAUACGGGCAGACUAGAGGUAUGCAGGGGAGAACGGAAUUCCUGGUGUAGUGGUGGAAUGCGCAGAUAUCAGGAGGAACACCGGUGGCGAAGGCGGUUCUCUGGGCAUUACCUGACGCUGAGGAGCGAAAGCGUGGGGAGCGAACAGG
rnacentral:rRNA from 1 species